rnacentral:lncRNA from 1 species
GGAGUCCCUCUACGGAUUCCAGGUCGAGAAGGUCCGCACCCUCAACAUGGAGGGCAAGAAGAAGAAGCGUGGCGGUCUUCUCAUCGCAAAACCCGACUACAAGAAGGCCUACGUCACCCUCAAGGCUCCCCUCUCUCUCUCCCAGGACCUCUACCCCAUCGGAAUCGUCCAGCAGGACCGCAAGCAGCAGACAGCCAACCAGACCAAGUCCGCUGUCGUCGAAGAGGGCGAGACGGAGAAGCAUUGGCUUUACGGGAACAAGGAGCGGCAG